GAUGAACGCUGGCGGCGUGCCUAAUACAUGCAAGUCGAGCGCGAGCGUAAGGAGCUUGCUCCUUACAAUCGAGCGGCGGACGGGUGAGUAACACGUGGGCAACCUACCCUUUAGACUGGGAUAACUACCGGAAACGGUAGCUAAUACCGGAUAAGUUGGAUUACACAAGUAAUCUUAAUGAAAGGCGGAUUUAUCUGUCACUAAAGGAUGGGCCUGCGGUGCAUUAGCUAGUUGGUGAGGUAGUGGCUCACCAAGGCAACGAUGCAUAGCCGACCUGAGAGGGUGAUCGGCCACACUGGGACUGAGACACGGCCCAGACUCCUACGGGAGGCAGCAGUAGGGAAUCUUCCGCAAUGGACGCAAGUCUGACGGAGCAACGCCGCGUGAGUGAAGAAGGGUUUCGGCUCGUAAAACUCUGUUGUUAAGGAAGAACACUUUAGGUGGUAACUGGCCUAGAGAUGACGGUACUUAACCAGAAAGCCACGGCUAACUACGUGCCAGCAGCCGCAGUAAUAC
rnacentral:rRNA from 1 species